ensembl:misc_RNA Metazoa_SRP Metazoan signal recognition particle RNA
GCUGGGCGUAAUGGCACGUGCCUGUAGUGCCUGUAGCUACUUGGGAGACUGAGGCAGGAGGAAGGCUUAAGUCCAGGAGUUCUGCACUGUGUGUUAUGCCAGGCAGGUGUCCUCACUAAAUUUGGCAUCAGUAUGGUGAUCUCCUGGGAGUGGAGAACAACGAGAUUGCCUAAGGAGAGGUGAACUGGCCCAGGUCAGAAAUGGAGCAGGUCAAAAUUCCUGUGCUGUUCAGUAGUAGGAUUGCACCUGUGAAUAGCCACUGUAGUGCACCAGCCUGGGCAGCACAGCAAGAUUCCAUCUCUU